AGCGAACAGACGAGGAGCUUGCUCCUCUGACGUUAGCGGCGGACGGGUGAGUAACACGUGGAUAACCUACCUAUAAGACUGGGAUAACUUCGGGAAACCGGAGCUAAUACCGGAUAAUAUAUUGAACCGCAUGGUUCAAUAGUGAAAGACGGUUUUGCUGUCACUUAUAGAUGGAUCCGCGCCGCAUUAGCUAGUUGGUAAGGUAACGGCUUACCAAGGCAACGAUGCGUAGCCGACCUGAGAGGGUGAUCGGCCACACUGGAACUGAGACACGGUCCAGACUCCUACGGGAGGCAGCAGUAGGGAAUCUUCCGCAAUGGGCGAAAGCCUGACGGAGCAACGCCGCGUGAGUGAUGAAGGUCUUCGGAUCGUAAAACUCUGUUAUUAGGGAAGAACAAAUGUGUAAGUAACUACGCACGUCUUGACGGUACCUAAUCAGAAAGCCACGGCUAACUACGUGCCAGCAGCCGCGGUAAUACGUAGGUGGCAAGCGUUAUCCGGAAUUAUUGGGCGUAAAGCGCGCGUAGGCGGUUUUUUAAGUCUGAUGUGAAAGCCCACGGCUCAACCGUGGAGGGUCAUUGGAAACUGGAAAACUUGAGUGCAGAAGAGGAAAGUGGAAUUCCAUGUGUAGCGGUGAAAUGCGCAGAGAUAUGGAGGAACACCAGUGGCGAAGGCGACUUU
rnacentral:rRNA from 1 species